GGGGAAGUCGGAUAGCGGCCAAUUCCGCCAGUUUAAGGAUUCCCUCCUUCAGGGAAGUCGUCCACUGGUCCCGAAAGGGGCGUGGGUUCGAAUCCCACCUUCCUCA